GAUGAACGCUAGCUACAGGCUUAACACAUGCAAGUCGAGGGGCAGCAUGGUCUUAGCUUGCUAAGGCCGAUGGCGACCGGCGCACGGGUGAGUAACACGUAUCCAACCUGCCGUCUACUCUUGGACAGCCUUCUGAAAGGAAGAUUAAUACAAGAUGGCAUCAUGAGUCCGCAUGUUCACAUGAUUAAAGGUAUUCCGGUAGACGAUGGGGAUGCGUUCCAUUAGAUAGUAGGCGGGGUAACGGCCCACCUAGUCUUCGAUGGAUAGGGGUUCUGAGAGGAAGGUCCCCCACAUUGGAACUGAGACACGGUCCAAACUCCUACGGGAGGCAGCAGUGAGGAAUAUUGGUCAAUGGGCGCAGGCCUGAACCAGCCAAGUAGCGUGAAGGAUGACUGCCCUAUGGGUUGUAAACUUCUUUUAUACGGGAAUAAAGUGAGGUACGUGUGCCUUUUUGUAUGUACCGUAUGAAUAAGGAUCGGCUAACUCCGUGCCAGUACG
rnacentral:rRNA from 1 species